UAGAUGGAGGCCAGUGUGGUUUAGGCAUCUAGCUGUUAACUAGAAUUUUGUGGGAUCGAGGCCCACCUAUCUAG
rfam:Nipponia nippon contig806, whole genome shotgun sequence.